rnacentral:lncRNA from 1 species
AUUAACUGGGUAGUAAUUGUAAGCAGGUAGGGUGUAGCUGGAGGAGGUGGGUACUGGGGUUGUGUCUUUGGGGUAAAUAUUUUGUCCCUAGUGAGUGAAGCACUCUACUUCUGGGUGCCAUGCCCUUCCGCCUUGAUGUUCUGCCUCACCCCUGGCCCAGAGCUGUGGAGCCAGCGUCUGUAUGGACUGAGACCUCUGAAACCAAGAGCCCCAAAUGAACUUUUCCUCCUCCAUGUUGUUCCUGUCAGGUCUUUGGGUCAUAACAGUGAAAAAGCUGACCAAGAUAGGUAGCACCUUGAACUACUAAAGAUGGAGAAAAACAGUAAUUAUUUAAGCGGCAACAGACGCACUACACAUGGAGGAUAAGAAAAUAUCUGAGUGGAAGAAGGCUCUACAGAUUCUGCUUAUGUAACUGGAUGAACUGAGCAUUUCCCAAACACAGAAGAGAAACUUCUGGUAGGACAUGACAGCCUCAGACACAGAGCAUUUACAACUUUGAUUCUUUCUUCUCAAAAGUCAAAUUGCAAAUGUUAAAAAAAACAAAAAAAAACCUCCUUCAUUGCUUCAUUUCUGUUCUUUCUGUACACACAUUGACUUUUCCCCCCACAUAAGGAGAUGUAUAUGCUCUCGUGUCUUCAGGGAACGCCUCUUUGAAUAUUUGACUGUCAAAAACUGAUUUACUGUUCAUGAAAGAAACAUCUCGUUCCGAACUGGUUGCACCAAAAAGAAAAAAGAACACCGGGGCUGGCACUAUUGCCAGAAAGUGCACAAGAAUCUCGCCAAAUCUGUUCACCUCAGACACGGCUCUGGCCACUGUGAUGGCAACAUUAAAGAAAGAGAAAAGAAGAGAGAUGACACAAAGGACAGUCUGAUCAAACAGUGCAGACACAGUGAUCAGUUCAAGCAUGCCUCCCACCUGAAGCAGAGGUGCUUAGAAUAAUGAUGCCCCCGGGAGAUGAAGAAUAUCUUGGUGAUUUAAAAGGAAUAUGGAAAAAACCAAUUUAAAAAAUAAAAGGAAUAUGGAAUGCCAGGCUUUAAACUUAGAUUUAAGAGUUAGGAGUAUUUCUCUAGUUCUGAUAACAAUAUAUUUAUAGAUAGAUAAAGGUAGAUACAUACACACACACACACACAUAUACUUUUUAAAAAAUUCCACCAAAUGAACAAAAAGUGUUUUGUUUUCAGAACACGAAGUGUUAGAUCAGACAAAAAUAGGUUUUAAAAUAUAUCAGAAUCUUGGAAGACCUGUAAGCUACAAGCAAGGGAGACCUGGGCAUUUGUUAUUUGCAAAGGGUUAAGUUAUGACAAGUAUUCAUUAGUCAUCUCCCACUGGCCAAAAAUCAAAUGGAUUCAUUUUCCAUUUUAAACAAUUUUUAUUUUUUUUACUUUCAUUUAAAUAUUUCUUUUUGCCAAUAUAUUUCUGUGACUGGUUAAACUUCUUGCCUUCUUCCCUGGACACUGCUACAAAAUAUAUAAUAAGUACUCUUUGCACUAUUUUUUUAAACUAAGAAAAAAAUCACUAGGAAUACUCCAAUUCCAGUUUCACCUUGCUCAUUUAUAAGUAAUACCACUCUGGGGAACAUUACAGGUUAGUAAAUCAUUUAUCCCUUUUCACAAACCCAACUUAAUUAUGAGAGUCUCAUAGAGACUAUGGGAUAUAAAAGUCCCAAAGCUCCAAAUUCAUAUUGCAGAUCCACAGGUUCUAACCAAGAAAGCUCCAAGUUCAUUUUGCAAAAUCCACAGGUUCCAACCAAGAAAGCAUCAAGAAGUUGCCAGAAGGCUGGCUUCAGGUUCUCAAUUCAACAAAUGCCAAAAGCUGAGGUCAUAAGCUCACAUUUAAGUGCCCACCACAUACCAGCUAUUGUCAAGGUCCUGCAUUCAAUCCUAUGAUGAAGCCUUCUGUCCUCAUUGUUCAAAAGUACUAUAAAAUAAGAAUCACUCCUUAGUCAUAUGUGACUGGCAUCAGGGUUUACAUCAGCCCUAGGCCCUAUUUACAGAAUCCGAGAACGGAAGGAUCCUUAAAGAAUAUGAAUGAAGGCUCUGCAUCAGGGCCAUGCAAGGCGGGUGGCACGUUCUUCCAUCCUUGCCUUCCUCCUGACUGGUUUUCUGUUAUUCAGAAGAGAAAUAAGGACGUUUCCAGUAACAGGGCCAUCAAGAUGGACUCGGUAGUGCCCACCAAGAGCAAGUCUCCUCAUCUCACAACCCUCCUUUCCUUCCCUUACAGGAGAGCUCCACAGCCCUCAUUUUACAGAUAAUUCAACUAAAGCUCCCAAGAAACAAAGAGUCCCCACAGCUUAGGAGUGACAAGGGAAAUAUGAAAUUAUAUAAUCCCAGGCCUCGUUUUUAUACAGUAUACUUAGCUUUCAAGAGGGAAGCCUUGCACAAGAAAGUACAUCUUUCUGCAUGUACUUUACUGGAACCCAGGGCUUUCUGCAUACAAGUACUCUACCUACUGAGCUAUAUCCUCAGCCCUCCCCUACCUCCCCCAGUUACUUGUAACACAACAAGCCAGGCCUGGUCCAGGGACCAGCUCUGAGAACCAUCACAUAGAGUGGGAAGAGGGAGGGUUAGGGGAAGAAGCUGAGACGAGGUAUAUCAGGUCCCAGAUUUUCAAACCAGAUUUUAAAAAACCUCUUUGGGGCAUAUGAGGUCAGAAGGAGACCAAUCAAGCCAUAUGUAGGAAAGGUUGGAAUUAUGAACCCCGUGAGGGGCUCCAGAUCACCAACCAACAGGGAGAGAAGCAAAAGAGUAACUUCAGCCAGUUAAGAGAUCACUGUAAACUGUAGGCAGAAAGAGUUGAAGCAGUUUACUCCUGAAGACUGAUUUCAUUAACCCUGAAUCACUUUUGCAGACUGGAGUCAUUUGCAACCAAGACUGAACUGCUCUGAUGCCUAGGGUUGAAUGUCAGCCACAGAAAGCAGGCAGGCUGCAGCACUGGGCCACAUGAGGACCUGUUUGAUUUCAUUCAUUCCCCCCAAAACUGUUUCUGAACCCCACAGAAGAAUAUCCCCUUUGCUGAGUUACCUUAGCUAUCCUCAUUCUUUUUAAGAUAAAGAACCAUUGCAAUGCUGCAGAUUCCCUGUGGUGGGAAUAUAAAUUCCUACUGUCUUUUCAGAGGGCUGUCAAUAUCAGUCACUAUUUAAAAUACCCACGGGGCAGAGGGUGUAGCUCAGUGGUACACUACUGGUAGCACAUGUGAGGCCGUGAGUUUGAUCCCCAGCACCAUAAAAUAAUAAUAAAAAAGGCAACCAUAUGCUUUGAUACAGUAAUUAAGACUCCCAGGUGUUUGCAUACCAUAGCAAUAUUUGCACAAAUUGGCUAACAGAUACCAUGAGGUUUCUUGGAACAUAUUUUAACAAUGAAAACUGUAUAUAAGCCAAAUAUUCAUCAAUUGGGGAAUGCUUAAAUAAAUUAACUCAUUUUUUUUUCCUUGCUAGUGCCUCAUAUGUUCUAGCUUGGCACAGGAUCAAUCACUGAGCUAUCCCUUCAACCCCAAUUCAGCCAGAGCUACAACUAGCUAGAGAGGAAACAGGAAAAGAAACGUUGGGAGGGGACCACAUGAAAAUCAAAGGGAGAUAGUAGAGGAAGGGGACCAGAGGGUAGGACACAGGAAGAGAGGGGGAGAAGUGCUGGCAAGUGAUAUUGGCCAAAUUUUGUAGUUAGAUUGUGUGCAUGUCUGAAAAUGUAACAAAAAAUUCCACCAUUAUGUACAACUAUAAUGCAAAAAUUUAAAGUAAAUAAAAUGUGCUGCACCUAUAUAAUACUUUCAUGAGGUGUACAAAAUAUUGAGUGAAUAAUAUUCAUAGUAUGUGACUUGGUUUUUUAGGAUGCUGGAAAUUGAACCCAGGGGAGCACACAUGCUAAGCAGGCACCCUCCCACUGAGUAUAUCCCAGGCCUGGUUCGAUUUUGUUUUAUAAAAACUAUAUGCAAAAUAUACACAUUUAUGUAUGAUUUCUAUGUGUGACUAUAUGUAUAUAUGUUUACAAAUCAUCAGUAUUCACUAUAUAUCAAUAUAUGUAUUAUAUAUAUUUAUAAAUGCAUAGAAAAAAAGUCUGGAAAGAUGGACUAACUAUUGAUAGUACUAACCUACUGGCAUGGGGUUGAGAGAAGAACAGAAGUCAAGUGAUAAAUGACUCCUACACUACUUUACUUUUUUAAAAAAAUUGUUUCGUUUCUGGUUUUAUGCAUUUUAUUGUUCUGAUAAUUUAAAAAUAAUUAUACAAACUUUUGUCUAAA